UUAUGGAUCUAAUAAUUCAUGAGCAAUUAUCUAAGCAAAGGAAUUGAGUGGGGGUGCAGGAUAAUGGAGUGAUUCGUUUGGGCCUUGGGCCUAAACCUUCCACACUGUAAAACUCGCCCUUAAGCACAUGGAUACGGCGGAAUGGGAAGACGCGGAUUCUACUCCGAGCACGGUGACAUUUUGCGAUAUCGUCUUCCACCUCAUGGCUUCAUCUUCUUCAACGCUGAAUCGAAAGCAACUUCAGAUGAUCAGUGCUGCCAAAUAUCGAUUAGCGAUGCGAAAUCAAACCUAAUCGUUUAACUCGAUUGGCCCGUGGAUACGCGCACAUGAACGAGAAACAGAAGAGAAAAUCUUCGGAUUGGAUUUCUAAAUAGCUCCUCUUCUUCUUCCCGCACUCCCUGCGAAUAUUACGACGUUGCCGUUGAGGAAUGGAGAACGCGAUUCGUUUCCUUUAUCAGUUUUCAGAUUCAAAGGUUUACAUCGCCGAAUACGACUCGAUCUGCUGUGGUAUGAACAAGCGGAAGCAGAAGCGACAUCGAAGGUAGAUCGAAGGUUACCGUACGGUGCAGGUUGUGGUUUGAUUUGCAGGAUUGUGAUUUAGCCAAAGGAAAAGCAGAAGAUGAUGUUUUGUGAUUCUGGCAAUCAAUAUGGAUGGUGAUGUGAGGUUCGGUGUUGUGGUGGCGAGCGGUUGAGUUAUUGUGGAUUGGAAAUGGAGGUUUGAUUGAAGGUUUUGGUUGAAGGCGGAGAUUACGGUUAUGGAGAUUGGAGUUUGGUGAAGGUGGUUGAAGAAUUGAGGUUGAAGGAAUGGAAGAGAGGAAGAAUCUGGAACCAGCUUUGAGAGAGGUGAAGAUUGAUUUAUAUAGAGUGAUGGAGAGUGGGAUUAGAAGUUUGUUAGGAAUCUGUUAUUCAAUUUUCAUUUUUUAUGCAGAAAUUCAAUUUGAUUUUAAUGCAGUGAAUUGGUUAUUAGUAUACAUUGCUGUUUCAAUUGGCUCGUGUGUUUGCAGCUUGAAGCUUGAAGUGUUGGCUGCACCUUGCCGUCUUUAAGAAGCUGUUAAGCUGUUGUUGAAACUUGUGGCUUGAAUUGUUGUUCUAGCUUGGUGGCUCAUCGUUCAUGGCUUUCAUUUGCUGUAUUGGCAUUUUCAUCUUGCUGUUUAUGCAUUUUUUCACGUUAUACAGGUUAAUUUCGUUUGCGUUUUGGAGCUGGUGCGAGUUUUAGCAUUGGGUUCAGCCGGUGUUCUUGGCUGUUAAGCUAAGCUUACACGUGCAGCUUGCCGUUUUCAAUUAUCCACCGCAACUUGGCUUGUUGUUAUUCUCACUACCUUUCUCUUUGUAGCAGCUUUUGUUGCUUUUGGCAUUGCAUCUCUCGCGCGGUAGCUACGACUUGUAUUGGCUUGCGCUUUUGAUGUAUCUUCCUUGUACUUGGCUUAGCAACUUUUUUCCUUGUAUUGUACUGUAGCUUUUGAAGCUUGUAGUUCACCUCCUUAUUAUUCUUCUUUUUAUUACUUAAUGAAAAAAAAUGGUUAUGGAUUA